rnacentral:rRNA from 1 species
GUACACUCCUACGGGAGGCAGCAGUAGGGAAUCUUCGGCAAUGGGGGCAACCCUGACCGAGCAACGCCGCGUGAGUGAAGAAGGUUUUCGGAUCGUAAAGCUCUGUUGUAAGUCAAGAACGAGUGUGAGAGUGGAAAGUUCACACUGUGACGGUAGCUUACCAGAAAGGGACGGCUAACUACGUGCCAGCAGCCGCGGUAAUACGUAGGUCCCGAGCGUUGUCCGGAUUUAUUGGGCGUAAAGCGAGCGCAGGCGGUUUGAUAAGUCUGAAGUUAAAGGCUGUGGCUCAACCAUAGUUCGCUUUGGAAACUGUCAAACUUGAGUGCAGAAGGGGAGAGUGGAAUUCCAUGUGUAGCGGUGAAAUGCGUAGAUAUAUGGAGGAACACCGGUGGCGAAAGCGGCUCUCUGGUCUGUAACUGACGCUGAGGCUCGAAAGCGUGGGGAGCGAACAGGAUUAGAUACCCGAGUAGUCCC